CUUUCGGAUGAACGCAUGGUAUUUAUGCGUGGAGUAAAGCCAUCAACAGAGGGACUGUUUCGUUGUGAAGUCUCAGCUGACGCUCCAUCAUUUCAGACAGUGUCAGCGCAAAAAUAUAUGAUAGUGAAAGUAAACUCUCGAGCAAGUGGCAGUCGUGACUCCAGUCUUGCCCUGUUGUUGUUGUCCAUCUUGUGGCAGUUGUUAGAACUACGAAAGGUUUGCGUUCUGCUGACUUCUACUUCUUGGUAUCUCAAGAGCUAUUGCAUUUCCUAAGUCACCAUCAUCCAGUCCUGAAGAGCUUGUGGAUUUUGUGUUAUCAGAUGGAUUUAAAAUACUUGAAAAAUAUCAGUUGAUUUUUCCCCCCGUGUGGAUGUUUAUGAAUGUGUGGCUCAUAUUCUUAUAGGACUCGUGAUGCUGAAGUAAACAGUCGUGUAUCACAUCCGAAUGGAAAACAGAAGCUGGAAAAGUGAACAGCAGACGAAAGAGAAUACGAAUAAAAUCUGAGCUGUAUUUUCAUUUUAAGUUGAAAUUGAAAUAAAAGAGAUAAUCCACUUCUUUAAA